AACUUUUGGCAACGGAUCUCUUGGUUCUGGCAACGAUGAAGAACGCAGCGAAAUGCGAUAAGUAAUGUGAAUUGCAGAAUUCAGUGAAUCAUCGAAUCCUUGAACGCACAUUGCGCCCCCUGGCAUUCCGGGGGGCACACCUGUUCGAGCGCCAUUUCAACCCUCAAGCCCCGCUUGGUGAUGGGCCCCGCCUACGGGCGGGCCCGAAACUCGUGGGCGUCGUCGUUCGGCUUCAAGCGUAGCAAAAACCCCGCUUGAGCGCUCGGACGGCGGCCGCCUAGAACGAACUCUUUACAAGGUUGGCCUCGGAUCAGGUGGGGAUACCCGCUGAACUUAAGCAUAUCAAUAAGCGGAGGCU
rnacentral:misc_RNA from 1 species